GUGUGUGUGUCAAAUAAAUACAGUCUUAAAAAACAACAACAACAAUAACCGAGCUCAAAGACAAACACCAGCAGGGCUGUCUGCACAAUCAGCCUGCAGCGGGGCAAGGCAGGGGGUGGGGGGGCUCUCCUCUUUCCAGUCCUGUCUUCUCCCUGUGCUGCUGUGCAUUUUCCUUUCCUCAGUCUGACUGUCCACAGAAGGGGUCUCAGAGGAGAAUGGGGGAAGUCAUGGUGGGUAUUAGGGAGACUUUGUCAGUAGCCAGGCUACUCAACUGGGAGACAGGGUGUCCUCUUCAUGAGGCCAUAGCAGAACCGGGACCGUUGUUCUGAGAAGCAGAUCACUGCUUUCAUCCACGAGCCCAUCCAGGAAGUUAUGGGAGAGACUGACAGCUCUGAUUCCAGACUCUACCCCUGACUUGCCAUGUGACUUUUGGGGACAAGCAGGGCCCUCGCAGUUGCUGAGUGCCCAUCCACUGCGUGGGGUGGUGGUGGGGAGACAUGCUCCCCAUACGCUCCGCGCGGUACCUCAUUGGGACCGCAAAGGCCACUCCAUUGCCUGGUGGCGAGGUCCUCUGGGCCUCGGUGCUGGCUGUUGGAGGGAGCUGGCGCCCCAGUCUCAGAAUGAAACCCUGUAGGUGCUAGCCUGCUCCAGACUGCCCCCCCGCCCCGUCUUUCUGGCCCUUCUUUACUCUUGCAGGGCGGGAGGCUCUUGCUCAUUUCUUCAUUCCUUCAUUCACCCGCCAAGUGCAUACCACGGGGCUCCUGUGCUCAGGGCUGUGCACGGCUGCCGCAUCCGUCAGUGAGCAAGGAAAGUCCCUGUCUUCAUGGUGUUUGCACCCUCGUCGGGGAGACAGGCCGAUGGGUGUGAGCCAGCUCCUCCCACAAAGAGCUUUGCGUAAGAUGCUGACUACAACAACAGAGAGGAGGAACAGAUUGCUAAGAGAGCACACGACAGGCAAGAUCGCUUUGCUGCAGGAGCAGCCGAGGUGCCCUUGGAUUUGCUGCUUAACCUCCUAGAGCCUCACCUGUGGAAUGGGCACAUCGCCAUGGGCUUCACAGGGCUGCUGUGGGAAGUGGGGAAACUGAUGGACAUGGAAAAGCACUUUGACAGAACAGUGCGGCCUUCCUGGAAGAAAGCAAACAAAAACAAGUGUGACUGUUUAAAAAAUUAUUGGAAAACCCGUUCUGCACACUCUGGCCUUGAGUGGCUCUCCUGGGCAGAGGAUGCGUCACCUGCUGCUUCCCUCUAGUCUCACCGCUCCCCCGAAAUCUGUGGGGAGGGGGUGGGGCAGCGUGUGGCCUUGAAGGAGGAGGGAGCUGGCUCUCGAGGCAGCCCCAUGACCAGGCCCUCUCGCACAGCCGUGUGCACCUGACACGCACAGACACGGAGGGCAGCCCACGUGUGUGCCCCUGAAAUCAGAGAAUUCUCUGCCUCCAGAGUGCAAGCCGGCUUCUGCCCUGAGUGUGGGGGACUAGUUUGGGUUUCUAUGGGGUAUUAGUUUGGGUUUCUAGGUGUUCUCUUUUGAUUUGCAGCAUCCUUGGCGCUGUUAUUAGUAACCCCGUUGGCCAGGCAGAGGCUGAGGAUGAAGCCUUUUCACUGCAGCCAUCUGGUCAGAUGCUUUCCCUUUGAUGAGGGAGGAACCUUCCCCGUACUUCAGCUGGAACGCUGCCUCCCAAUUAAGGUGACAGCAGAUGCCAAAUGGCCAGGUCUUCGCAGGAGCGGGACGCUGGGCCAGGCUUGAGAGCGUGGCUGGGCCGGGAGGGAGCCUGCCUCGCGGCCUGAUGGUGCCAGCGCGCAGGGACGCGGCCCGGAGAGCCUCCGUCAGGUGCGGACCGGCGGGGCUGGCUCUGCGCUCAGGUUUUCCACUGUCGGGCGGUGAGUCGGGCGGUGACAGCGAUGCAUCACAGACACCCUCAGGAGACGCUCCUCUGCUUUCAUAACAAUGAAGGAUUUUUUUCCUCUGACUCAUCUUCAGAAGAUCCCCCCCCCUUCUUCAUUUGAAAAUAAAUAUAAUUAGUAACAGCAGACGUACUGUAUAUAGCCAGCCCUUCCUAUCCGGGAGAGCUAUAAUUAAAUGUACAUGCUGCCUGUCGGUCGCUGUCGGCUAGAGGCCUCGCCACCCGCUCCGGGGACGCGGUGGCCCUUGGGUGGGUGCUGCAGAGAGAGAGGCCUGUCAGGGCUCUGCGCCCAGCGCCGGGAGGGGGCGGGGUGGCGGGAAGCGGAUGCACAAGGUGGGCUGAGUGGACGUUGUCCCCUCGCACUGCCCCGGCCUGGGCUUGUCUCCGUUCUCCUCCUCAAGCUGCUCGGGGCAGCCGGGGGUGGGCCUGGUCGGUGCGGGGGCGGUGCACACCCCCUUCUGCCCCCGCCCGGCAGAGCCGAGGGAGAGUUGCCAGGUACGGUUGUCAUGGCAACGUGGUGGCCGCUGCAGGCUGCUGCGGGCGAGGGGCACCUGAGCGCCUGCAGGUUAAGAUCUGCUCUCUCCAGGCUAGGAGCCAAGACAGCGUCCUUUGUUCCCGGCUCCUGCUGGAGCUGCGGCCCCGCCCCUCGGUGGCGGGAGCUCAGACAGGUUCUCCCCAGGUAACCCUCCGCUCUCUUUCCGGACAAAAGGGCAGCCUGGGCGUCUGGUGGCCACCGUCCAGGCCCACGGAGAGCUCAUAUUCUGCCGAAAUCGGUGGGUCGGGCAGGCCCAGGAAUGCGUACACACAUCUUGUGGGCAUAUUCUGGGCCUGUGGCAGGGCCAGCGAGCUUGGUGAGACAGGCUUGGUGACACAGGGGAGGCUGCGCGCCUCCUGCCUCCUGUCCCUCGGGCGGGCAAGGCGGGGACCGGAUGACUCGUUGGCCUGGAUUGAACGCAGCAGGCGUCAUCCGAGCCACAGGCACCUUUACCCAAGUUGCUCAAAGUGUUUUCCGAGCAAACAGUUGUUUCAUAACACCCGUGAGAAGUAGGUGGGGUGACAAAGCAUUCUUUGUCCCUAUCUUACGGAUGGGGAAAUUGAAAAGCUUGUCCAUCCAGGUGGUGAGGCCAAGAAAGGAGGAAGGGAGCUCUCCCGCCCUGGGCUCUGGGGCGCAGAGGACUGGGAUCUCCGCCUGGCUCUCCAGCCAGGACGUGCUGUCGCCAACUCUUGGGGGGUCCUGGGCUGCGGGGGCAGGCCCAUUGGAGAAAGAGUCCAGAGGUGGAGGCAGUUUGAGGCUUCUCCCUCCGCACCGAGGGGCCUCCAGGAACUCAGUGGCUGGCCUGUGGUCUGAGGUGUUGACACUGGCUUUUGGGGACCCGGAAGGUGUCUGUUGGCUGGAAGUCAUUGCGCCCUCAGAGGUGGUCAGCAGAUCCCAUUUGAGCAUCCUGUGCUAGCUCAGGGAUUAUGGUUCCGGGCACCGGGGGUACAGUGGUGAGCGAGCACCCAGGGCACCUGGUCUGUGGAGCUCGCAGGAGAUACAUAAUCAAUAUGGAAUAUUAAGGAGAAAUCAUUUUGGAGAGUGCCAUGUGCCACGAGGAAAGUACAGAUGGAAUGUGCCAGACACUGGCUGGAGGGGAGGCUGGAAAGGGGGCAACCUUACAGAGGAGGCAGGGAAGGCAUCUACAGGGGCUCAAUCCCACAGGAGGAGGAGGAGCUGGCCCUGGAUGAUCAUUUCAGAGGGAGGGGACAGCUGUGCUGUGAGUCCGAGAGGGCAAUGAGGGCGGCUUGUUCCAAGGUUAAGGAGAAGGAUGCAGCUCCUGGAUGGUGGCCAGAGGGGGGACACGGAGACCUGGUCAUGGGCCAUGGGGCCAG